CCUACGGGGGGCUGCAGUGGGGAAUAUUGGGCAAUGGGCGCAAGCCUGACCCAGCAACGCCGCGUGAAGGAAGAAGGCUUUCGGGUUGUAAACUUCUUUUCUCAGGGACGCAGAAAGUGACGGUACCUGAGGAAUAAGCCACGGCUAACUACGGGCCAGCAGCCGCGGUCAUACGUAGGUGGCAAGCGUUAUCCGGAUUUACUGGGUGUAAAGGGCGUGUAGGGGGGGAAGCAAGUCAGAUGUGAAAACCACGGGCUCAAACUGUGGCCUGCAGUUGAAACUGUUUUUCUUGAGUACUGGAGAGGCAGACGGAAUUCCUAGUGUAGCGGUGAAAUGCGUAGAUAUUAGGAGGAACACCAGUGGCGAAGGCAGUCUGCUGGACAGCAACUGACGCUGAGGCGCGAAAGCGUGGGGAGCGAACAGGAUUAGAUACCCGAGUAGUC
rnacentral:rRNA from 1 species